rnacentral:misc_RNA from 1 species
CAGAGUUUACCACAACUCACUCAACCAUUGUGAACCCUACCUUACCGUUGCUUCGGCGGGAGGCGCUCUCGGCCCCUGUGAUGGGUGGCUGUAGCGCGUCCUCGGACCCCCCGCGGGCGCCCGCCGAAGGAGUACCCAAACCUAUUGGCAGCACGUGGCCUAUCUAAGUCUUAUGCUAAAUAAGUCA